CGAAGAAGUAGGGGCGGGGGGAAGUUUAGGAGUUGAGGAAAGAAGAUUAAAGAGCGCGAGGAGAUCUCACAGACCAGUGGAGUAAAGGCCUUUUGCAUAUGAAGAUCAGGUGACAAGUUAACUGGCUACCAGCCUCCAAAGCAAUACGCCCUUUCAUGCAAAGGGUUGAGAACAAGGCAAUAUUAUGUUGAAGGGGUGAUUUGAGCUGAAAAGUGAACAGGAUUCCAGACCUUUCUGAUUCAGGAAGCAAGAAGAUAGUGGAAUGACAUCUACAAACUGCAAAAGGAAAAUGACUACAGUCCAAGAAUCUCAAUGCCCAGAAAGUUGUCAUUUGCUAAUCAAGGUGAAAGAAAUACAUUUAGGGAAAACCAAGAACUCAGAACAUAUAAUUAUUAUUCCCCAUCCAAGAAAAUGCCUGAGGAUAGAUUAUAAGCAAACAACAAAUGAACCAGGACAAAGAUUUCAAGAUGAAAAGAAAAGGAAAUAGUGGUAAAUAAUGAGCAUUUGUAUAUAAUUGUUUGUGUGUGAGUGUGUGUUGUGUGUAUAAUUUCAUUUAAGAGAGAAAGAUGGCUAGUAAAUGUGUAAUAAAAUAGACAAUUUCAGAUUUUGAAAUAAAAGGAUCAUACUUAUGUAAACAAAAUUUUUAAUGUACUAAAACUGUCUUAUCAACACUUAGUUGAUGGAGGGAGUAGACAGGAGGAAUGUAAAAAAGGAGGAAAAUAAGUGGUGGGAGAUGAGAGGAGGAAGAAAAGAGGAGAAAAGUGAAUGUAUCCUAAAGAUCUCAUUUAUUUAGGAGAAAGGGGUGGGGGAUAGAACCUCUUGGUGGGGGAAAAAAUUGUCUUAGAUAGAAAGAUACAUGAAAAAAAUAUAUAUAUACAUCUGUUAAUUAGAAUAGAGAAAGGGAAGGUUAGCAUGAUAGAACAUCAUGUAGAACUUUCAUAGCAGCAAGGAGGAAAUAGAAUGCAGAACCACUUGAUCAAAAAAAAAUAUGGAAAAGGGAAAAAGGAAACAAUAAUGUAAGAUUAAAAAUAAAUAUAAGUAAUUGGAAGAUAUAAAAUUAGGCACAUUAUUACAUUUAAUGUAAUGGACUAAAUUCUCCCAUUAAGAAAACAGAUGUCAGAUUGAAUUUAAAAACAUAAGCCACUCAAAUUAUAUUACAAGAAAAACACCUGUGUCAAAAUUAUAAAGAAAUGUUGUUUGUAAAAUGGUGGACAUAAAAGACAUCAGGCAGAGGCAAACAAAAGGAAAACAGAGAAACAUGAGCGACAGCAUUGCCCAAAAAGGGGCACUGUAAUGAUGAAAGGCAUAGUUUAUGAAGAGAAUAACCACAUAACUGUAUACAGCAGGCUUAUUUAUAGUAGAUAAGUAUGUUAAGUAAAAACUAUUGGAAAAGUCUAGACAGCUCUGUUAAACACAUGCAAACAAUGACUAAGAGAAAUGGAAUACUAUAACUCAGAAGCAAUAUAUUUGUAGAAACUGAUAUUC